UCCCUUGUGGCUCAGCUGGUAAAGAAUCUGCCUGCAGUGCAGGAGACCUGGGUUCAAUCCCUAGGUUGGGAA
rnacentral:tRNA from 1 species